UACGUAGGUGGCAAGCGUUACUCGGAAUCACUAGGCGUAAAGCGCAGGUAGGCGGUUCGGUAAGUCUUUUGUGAAAGCUCCCGGCUUAACUGGGAGAGGUCAAAGGAAACUACCGGGCUAGAGUGUGGUAGGGGAAACUGGAAUUCCUGGUGUAGCGGUGAAAUGCGCAGAUAUCGGGAGGAACACCGGUGGCGAAGGCGGUUCUCUGGGCCUUACCUGACGCUGAGGAGCGAAAGCGUGGGGAGCGAACAGG
rnacentral:rRNA from 1 species